UUAUGUCCAGGGCUACACACGUGCUACAAUGGUAGAUACAGAGGGAAGCGAGAUAGUGAUAUGGAGCGAAUCUCAGAAAAUCUGCCACAGUUCGGAUGGGUCUGCAACUCGACCCCAUGAAGCUGGAAUCGCUAGUAAUCGCGCAACAUCAUGGCGCGGUGAAUACGUUCCCGGGCCUU
rnacentral:rRNA from 1 species